rnacentral:rRNA from 1 species
AUUGAACGCUGGCGGCAGGCCUAACACAUGCAAGUCGCGCGAGCGGCGGACGGGUGAGUAAUGUCUGGGAAACUGCCUGAUGGAGGGGGAUAACUACUGGAAACGGUAGCUAAUACCGCAUACCAUCAGAUGUGCCCAGAUGGGAUUAGCUAGUAGGUGGGGUAAUGGCUCGCCAAGGCUACGAUCCCUAGCUGGUCUGAGAGGAUGACCAGCCACACUGGAACUGAGACACGGUCCAGACUCCUACGGGAGGAAGCAGUGGGGAAUAUUGCACAAUGGGCGCAAGCCUGAUGCAGCCAUGCCGCGUGUGUGAAGAAGGCCUUCGGGUUGUAAAGCACUUUCGGCGGUGAGGCGUUACCCGCAGAAGAAGCACCGGCUAACUCCGUGCCAGCAGCCGCGGUAAUUC